GACGAACGCUGGCGGCGUGCCUAACACAUGCAAGUCGAGCGAAUGAAGUUCCUUCGGGAAUGGAUUUAGCGGCGGACGGGUGAGCAACACGUGGGCAACCUGCCUCAUAGAGGGGAAUAGCCUCCCGAAAGGGAGAUUAAUACCGCAUAAGAUUGUAGUACCGCAUGAUACAGCAAUUAAAGGAGCAAUCCGCUAUGAGAUGGGCCCGCGGCGCAUUAGCUAGUUGGUGAGGUAAUGGCUCACCAAGGCGACGAUGCGUAGCCGACCUGAGAGGGUGAUCGGCCACAUUGGGACUGAGACACGGCCCAGACUCCUACGGGAGGCAGCAGUGGGGAAUAUUGCACAAUGGGGGAAACCCUGAUGCAGCAACGCCGCGUGAGUGAUGACGGCCUUCGGGUUGUAAAGCUCUGUCUUCAGGGACGAUAAUGACGGUACCUGAGGAGGAAGCCACGGCUAACUACGUG
rnacentral:rRNA from 1 species